UCAAAUCAUAUGCUCAAAAUUGUUUAUAAAGACCUACAUUUGGAGAAAGUCCCCAGACCUCUGGCAGAGUGCCGCAUGCACAUGCACGUGGACCCCCCCCCCCCCCCGCUUCCAGGGUUAAAGACCUACAUUUA
rnacentral:sRNA from 1 species